AAUUACCCGAUUUUUUCAAACCAGUUUUCGUUUACUUUCUGGCAGAUUCGAAAAAUUGGCAUUUCACUGUGGAUUAUAUUUUGAUGGAGUGGCGUAUGAAUUGAAUUGUGUGUGCAGUGUGAACGUCCUUAUAAUAUACGCCUCAGCAAUUUUGUAAGAGCUCAAAGUCUUAUUUCAUGUCUCAGUCUUUUGAUUUAUUUUACGUUCUUACCCCAUACAUCUUGUUACUAAGAGAUUAAAGUUUAUACACAAAAGACUGACAAUUUAUUUUCAACUCGAGUCUUCAUCAUUGAGAUCGAGUACAGAUCUUUUUCUCAACGUUAGAGUGGCCGCAGGAAAAGACAAAAUUGAGAAUGAAAACCGCUGGACUCCUAUUAUUUCUGAGCGCUGUCGCUAGUGUGGCUACAAUUGGGGGGUCGAUCAGGUGCUAUGAAUGCUCAAGCCAGAGUGCAUGCGACGCAAUAGUUGAUCAAACUGAGCCUCAAGAAUGUAGCGAAGUGUAUGUUGCAGAGUCCCACCAAGUCGUACCCGAGUUUGAUCGAUGUUUGCGGAUCACAGACGUUGGUCCGACCCCAGCGUACAAGAGAGUCUGUGGCAAUCAGCGAAUCUACGACGAAUAUAUGGACGAUUGUGCUCUCCCGGAGUGUGCAGUGUUGGCUUGUUAUUCAGACAAGUGCGUUAUUUGAUCGUGUAGAAAUCAAUGGGAUUUAGACUCUGUGGUGUAAUUUCGGUUUCCUUUUCUCCCGGGGGAACUCUCAUACAAACAGGAUGGAGGUGCUCGUCGGAAAUGUUGAAAAGAACCGCUAAGAGGUACUAAGAUCCUGUUUUGUACGCGUGGCUUGAAAAUUUGUCACCCCUAAUAAGUACCAAUUCUAAAACAAUACAUUAUCUCCACUCAUAUUUUUUUGGCUCAAUACCCUAACAGGGCCUCUAAAGCUCCAGCUUUGGACCUUUUGAGGUUAAACACCCAGAGAGGUACCGAAACCGCUUUUUUAACCCUUUAAAGGUACGACGAGCUCGAGCACCCCUGUUCUUUUUAUACGGGAAUCCCGCGGGUCUUUUCCUUUUUUACUAUAGCUGUCGGUCUCAUUCUAAAUCAAUUGAAAGUUGAGGUUCUUUAAUCAAUUAACUGCUUCCAGUGGAGUUAAAAUCCGUAGCGUAAAUAACUUCCAUUUGAAAAUAUUAGCUGUUUAGGCCAGCUCAGAACCGAAAGGCUUUUAAGUCAGGGUCAAUUUUGAAGAAAAAAAUUAAAUCGAGAACUAUUGGUGUUUUACUAGAUAUAUAAUAUGUAAGGGAAAUGUUAAGUAAAUGCUGGGUAUGAGGAAAAACAGAGCUGUAAAUUUGUGUAAACUGUUUUCAUAUAGUGUUGGUAAGUUUUGUUUCUGUUAAUAAGUAUAAGUGAAGCAGGGUUUAAGAUAAAGAUGGCUGUUCCAAAAAGGUUCCCUUUAUCACUGUACAAUUGAGAAAAUCACUUCAUUAAGUUUGGCUGAGACCAGACACUUAUCUGCACUGCAGUGCAAAUAAACGCGCGCACGUUCGCAAUUUUCUCAGUCAUAUAAUAAAUGAGUAAUCUGUGUCGUUUGAAAGCCAAAGCAAUUCAGUAAGGAUUUAAACUACGCGUAAUAUUUGAAAAUUCUUUCAAAUUGCACUCACCUAAAGGCUCGUGCAA